UACAGAGGGUGCGAGCGUUAAUCGGAAUUACUGGGCGUAAAGCGUGCGUAGACGGUAGCGUAAGUCUGCUGUGAAAGCCCCGGGCUCAACCUGGGAAUGGCAGUGGAUACUGGCAAGCUAGAGUGCGGUAGAGGGGUGUGGAAUUCCCGGUGUAGCGGUGAAAUGCGUAGAGAUCGGGAGGAACACCAGUGGCGAAGGCGGCACCCUGGACCAGCACUGACGCUGAGGAGCGAAAGCCAGGGGAGCAAACGGG
rnacentral:rRNA from 1 species